rnacentral:lncRNA from 1 species
CUCCGUACCACAUAAAAAUAAAUAUGUGAAAUAAAGGUAUUGUGUCCAACUACAACCAAAUUUAUAUAUAUAUAUAUAUAUAUAUAUAUAUAUGUGGNCACACACACACACACACACACACACACACACACAUAAAGGCUGGGGAUGAAGAUGUGGCUCAGUGGUUAAGCACCCCUGGAUCCAAUCCCCAGUAUAAAAAAAAAAAAAAAACAACUUUUUAAAUCAAAAGUGGAAGUACAAAACAUCACAUAGCUGCACAUUUUCAUAGAAAUACUGAAUGAAUGAAUAAACUAGAAACAUUGGUUGCCUUGAGGUUGUGAGACUGGAGUAAGGGGUGGGACAAUUAACUGAGUGUGUCUUUUUGUAUAUUUUUUCAUUAUUAAUACAUAAUGUACAAAAUAAUGGAUUUCUUUGCAACAUUUUCAUACAUGCAUAUAAUGUGCUGUGAGUGUAUCCACCCUCCCCUAUGUAUAGUUCCUAAAUAUAAUACAACUAAUGUUCUCAUCCUUAAGAACUUAAGGGAAUGAGUGAAUUCUAGUGAGGAGUUGGUUUUUCACAGUGAUAUGGAUAGGCAAUACUAAAACUAAUGUGUAUUCCAGACCAAGCAAGUAAUUAUAGUAUGGAAAAUGAGAGCCAGGUUUCUCACUGUUGGCAAAGGAAGUUAGGAAUUUUGAUGAGGAACCCCUGUGGUGUUGGACUGGAAUGGGAAGUGUCAGUAUGAAUUCAUGACUGUGUAAAGACAUAGACACAGAUGUGCAUAUUUCUUGCACUGUAUCCUGACAGAUCUGAGACACACUUACAUCCAAUAAAAAUAAGCACACUGGCUGUUCCUACUUUGCUGUCUAACUACCAUUUCCCACUGUAAGGAACUAGAGAGCCUUGGAGAAAUGGCUCAGUCUAGGGCUGCAGUUGGGAAAAUAUGGGAUGAAAUUUGAUUAUCU